rnacentral:rRNA from 1 species
GACGAACGCUGGCGGCGUGCUUAACACAUGCAAGUCGAACGAGUGGCGAACGGGUGAGUAAUACGUGGGUAACCUGCCCUCUUUUUGGGAUAAGCCUUGGAAACGGGGUCUAAUACCGACUAAGGGGGAUGGGCUCGCGGCCUAUCAGCUGGUUGGGGGGGUGAUGGCCUACCAAGGCGGUGACGGGUAGCCGGCCGGUGAGGCUGACCGGCCCCGUUGGGCCGGAGAUACGGCUCAGGCUGCUACGGGAGGCAGCAGUGGGGGAUAUUGCACAAGGGGCGAAAGCCUGAUGCAGCGAUGCCGCGUGGGGGAUGAAGGCGUUCGGGUUGUAAACCGCGUUCGCUAGCGAACUGGUAGGUGGAGAAGAAGCGCCGGCUAACUACGUGCCAGCAGCCGCGGUAAUUC